GACGAACGCUGGCGGCGUGCUUAACACAUGCAAGUCGAACGGAAAGGCCCUGCUUUUGUGGGGUGCUCGAGUGGCGAACGGGUGUGUAACACGUGAGUAACCUGCCCUUGACUUUGGGAUAACUUCAGGAAACUGGGGCUAAUACCGGGUAGGAGCUCCUGCUGCAUGGUGGGGGUUGGAAAGUUUCGGCGGUUGGGGAUGGACUCGCGGCUUAUCAGCUUGUUGGUGGGGUAGUGGCUUACCAAGGCUUUGACGGGUAGCCGGCCUGAGAGGGUGACCGGCCACAUUGGGACUGAGAUACGGCCCAGACUCCUACGGGAGGCAGCAGUGGGGAAUAUUGCACAAUGGGCGGAAGCCUGAUGCAGCAACGCCGCGUGCGGGAUGACGGCCUUCGGGUUGUAAACCGCUUUCGCCUGUGACGAAGCGUGAGUGACGGUAAUGGGUAAAGAAGCACCGGCUAACUACGUG
rnacentral:rRNA from 1 species